GCCAAAAAUAAAGACUAGAUAAACAACCGUGCAUCGAACGUAAGUUUAUGGAAUUUAUUCUGAAUUCAUCAAACAAUUUCAGUUGAAUCUGCAAAAAAUCCAUUUAUGACCUGCAGAAUAAAUCAGAAAACUGCAUUAAACUUCAUUUCAAACUAUGUUUUGAAUAUGAAUAUUACCUCAAAUUUGGUUGCACUAGCUGGCUGUGUCCAUUUUGGUGACAUUUGAAGUUAUUUUUGGUGCAAAACAAUAUCACAUGUGUAUGAUGAAAUUGAGCCACAAGAAACUCUGAUACAAAAAUUGUCGGUGAAAGCCAGCGAAAUAUUGAGAGAAAUUUUAACGAGUUUUGCAAUCACCGGGUAAGCGUAUUCGAAUGUUUGUGUUACUAAAUUGUGAAUAAUUUAUUAUCUAAAGGAAUCCAGUCUCUGAAACAGCAUCAUUCGAUAAUUUUCCACUGGUCGGUUCACAGCCAUUGACUAAAUUGCCGUUUGCUGAAUUGCUUAGCAUAAAUGCUUUGGUCACCGGAAAUAAUUCAGAUUAUGAAGAGUUCAAGCUCUGGUGGGACAUCGAUCAGCGAAUCGAAGAAAUCAAGAAAAUGCCCUGCAACCAGAAAUGAUUCAAAACAAUUCAGACACGAAUUUCGUACUUUUUUGUGAUAAAACUCAUUAUCAGUUUUUGUCAAUAUUUAGAGAAGAAUACCUGAUUGGAGUAUUAGAUGUUUGUUUUUCUUGUUCGUGCGCAGAUUUUACGAUUUGCAGAUGGGAAAAUGAAUAGAGAGGAAUAUUUAGAUGACUGUGGAUGACAUAUGUGAAUUAAUAAAAAUGAAAAGCUCUUUCUAUUUGCUCAUUGCACAAGCGCGCGUUUAUAAAUAAAGAUUACAAGAGUGAUAAUGAUCGCACGUUUUACAACACAUUUACGUGAUGAUUAACAAUCGAUGUAAAUUACACAAUCUUCAUUGCAAUGACUCAAUGAGACUCAUAAGUAUUUAUUUGCCUUGUGACUUUUAAAAAAAAUUGAAGAAGUUGCAAAAGUAUUCGGUUCGUAUUCUUUUGAAAUUCACAAAAAAUGAAUCAAUAAUUUUAUAUUGAUGCGAUGCAUUUAAUCAUUCCAAGCAAUGAGUGGUUUUAGUCUGUGUUCUUCACUU